AGGACAAUAUCUUCUUAUGAUGAAAUGUUAUGAUCUUGCAAAGUUUACUAUUUAUCAAAUAGCAGAAAUGGACAAAGGUCUCAUCGAGUUGAGUCCUAUGCAGCAAGCCCUCAUUUAUUCAUUUUGUGAAAACCAUGACAAGGCCAUUGAGGUCUUGGACGGAAUCAGCUGGAAUAGAGCUGAGAUGACCGUGUGUGCUGUAUUAGCAAAAGUUCAAAUGAAGGCCAAGAGAACCAAG
rnacentral:sRNA from 1 species